CCAACGGCUCUUAUCAGAGCCACCGAUAUUGUCAUUAAAGAUCAAU
rfam:Anopheles epiroticus strain epiroticus2 unplaced genomic scaffold supercont1.2267, whole genome shotgun sequence.